AUCACUUCUUGGCCUUUUGGCUAAGAUCAAGCAUAGUGUCUGUUUUUAUCAGUUCAAAAUAUAGUUAGAAAAAUCAAUGGAAAUCUAGAUAUUUGUGCAACUGGAGCCUUUCUGCAUGAUAAGUUUUGCAUGAAACUGUGUUCUACCAGAGGCAAUUUUGGAACUUUCACCAGGGUCAAAUCUUU
rfam:Otolemur garnettii contig093848, whole genome shotgun sequence.